AGGACUAACGCUGGCGGCGUGCCUAACACAUGCAAGUCGAACGAGGGGUAGCAAUACCCCUAGUGGCAGACGGGUGAGUAACACGUAGUCAACCUACCUCUUAAUGGGGGAUAACUAGCCGAAAGGUUAGCUAAUACCGCAUACGAUCGUCGAGUGGCAUCACACGACGAUGAAAGGAGCAAUCCGUUGAGAGAGGGGACUGCGUCCCAUUAGUUAGUUGGUGGGGUAAUGGCCUACCAAGACUCCGAUGGGUAGCUGGCUUGAGAGAGCGACCAGCCACACUGGAACUGAGACACGGUCCAGACUCCUACGGGAGGCAGCAGUGAGGAAUUUUUCCGCAAUGGGGGAAACCCCUGACGGAGCGACGCCGCGUGUGGGAAGAAGGGCCUUCGGGUCGUAAACCACUGUCGAGGGGGACGAUAUUGACGGUACCCCUGGAGGAAGCCCGGCUAACUACGCGCCAGCAGCCGC
rnacentral:rRNA from 1 species